UUCAAAAAACUGACGUCACUUAAGCCUGGGAAACUUCCAGUAUUUUGCGGUUUUUCGAUUAUAUGUGACGCUCGAUCGCUUGGUUCGCUUCCAUCUCUUGAGGUCAAGUGUCGAGGAACUGGAGUGUCUGUCGCAACUGCUGCACGUGCCAUGUCGUCCGUAGCUCCACGUCCAUGUCGCUGCCCCAAGGAUCCGGUUCCACACACACACACACACGGUGGCACUUAACUGGAGCUGCCAACCGAGGGUUUGGGCCUUGGAAUGCGCGGCUCGUGGGCAUUCAAGCAAGACCAUAAGCAAAAGAAACAGAACACUGCUCCCAGAACGAACCAAAGACUGGCCACCACCCACUACUCACGUGCACAGAGCGAAAAUGUGGCUAUUUUAUGUGAUUACAUUAUGUGGCCAAGCAUUUGAUAUCCAUGACGAUCAAUUCAUUAUUCUCUGUGCACUCGAACUUGAGCCUCCUAGAGCUGCCCAACCCACCCACUCGACGAUUAGCAACACCCAACACCCAAACUGACGUCACAACGUGUUGUUCCGCUGACCAAGACCGCGUCAAAUGAGCAUAGAAAAAAAGUACCCGCAAGACCAAAGAAACACCUGCGAAAGCCAAAAAGCACAAAACAACGCAAACACCAUGGAAACUGGUUCCGCGGGGAAGCUGAGAUCUGUGGCUCGAACAUCGGAGCUUGGAGCUUGGAGCUUGUAGCUCCAUGAGUCAGCGGCGGAUAGGCGGCUAUCGUAUGCACCGAUUUACGGCACGCACAUGUGUUUCCUUGGUAGUAAUGAUAGUGCGCGAUGGAUGGCAGGAGCACUCAGUGCACUACUACCGGCGAAUAAAAAAAUCCCCCGAAAUUGCAGUCACGGACGUCAGGCAUCGCUGGGAACUGGAUUUUGCAGCGCGAUUUAAUGUAUUCCCCGAAUCCAAGAAUCCAACCCAGAACUUAACCCAUUGUGCAUUUGAAAAGUGACUCAAAGAACUAUCUUAUAGUAUAAUUUGAUAGUAUUAUUUAUUAAUAAACACAAACAUAAU
ensembl:ncRNA lncRNA:CR44895 long non-coding RNA:CR44895